GACGGCAAAGCAAAUAUUUGGUGGUAAUGCACAGUUAACAGCUCCUGCACCACUUGUACCUACCAGUGUAAUCACCAGAGGGCGCAGUGGAUCAACUAGAUCAAGCAGAUCACAUUCCUUAACCUUACCAGUCGCUUUGGACUUGAGUUCUCUAGUGACAUCUUUGCCUGACACAGAGAGCAGAGCAGCAUUUCUAGUCAUUGGUCACACCAAUAAUGAAGUGUCUGAUGCCUGUAGAGAACUUCAGCAGGCAUAUAAGGACCAGUGCUCCACACACACUUUCUUUCUUGAUGAGAUCAGGUGCCUCACUCCGGAUGAGAUGGACCAGCUGCUCUCUAAAGUGAAUUCACUGCACCUACAGAUAGAUACAAGCAGCUCUGAUAUAUGGGUAGUAAAAGGACUGAAGGAUGGAGUGAAUGAGGUGGUUAGACUGAUACAAGACGCACUUCGUAGACAG
rnacentral:lncRNA from 1 species